rnacentral:rRNA from 1 species
ACGGCGAGUGAAGCGGCAACAGCUCAAAUUUGAAAUCUGGCGCAAGCCCGAGUUGUAAUUUGCAGAGGAUGUUUCGGGUGAAGCCACGGUCCAAGUCCCUUGGAACAGGACGUCAUAGAGGGUGAGAACCCCGUACCUGGCCGUCGGUGCCCCCCGCUGUGAAACUCCUUCGACGAGUCGAGUUGUUUGGGAAUGCAGCUCUAAAUUGGUGGUAAAUUCCAUCUAAAGCUAAAUACCGGCCAGAGACCGAUAGCGCACAAGUAGAGUGAUCGAAAGAUGAAAAGCACUUUGAAAAGAGAGUUAAAAAGUACGUGAAAUUGUUGAAAGGGAAGCGCUUGCGGCCAGACUUGCCCGCGGUUGCUCAGCCCGCCUUUUGGCGGGUGCACUCUUCCGCGGUCAGGCCAGCAUCGGUUUGGGCGGCCGGACAAAGGCGUCGGGAACGUGGCCUCCCCUCGGGGAGGUGUUAUAGCCCGGCGCGCAAUGCGACCAGCCCGGACCGAGGUUCGCGCUUUGCUAGGAUGCUGGCGUAAUGGCCGUAAGCGGCCCGUCUUGAAACACGGACCAAGGAGUCUAACAUCUAUGCGAGUGUUUGGGUGUCAAACCCGUGCGCGUAAUGAAAGUGAACGGAGGUGGGAACCGCAAGGUGCACCAUCGACCGAUCCUGAUGUCUUCGGAAGGAUUUGAGUAAGAGCAUAGCUGUUGGGACCCGAAAGAUGGUGAACUAUGCGUGAAUAGGGUGAAGCCAGAGGAAACUCUGGUGGAGGCUCGCAGCGGUUCUGACGUGCAAAUCGAUCGUCAAAUUUGCGUAUAGGGGCGAAAGACUAAUCGAACCAUUUAGUAGCUGGUUCCUGCC